UUCCCCUGAGAUCUAACUAUUGUCCCCCAGGCAUUAAUGACAGCAUGUUGCUGCUCCACAUGUCUCAUUGUCUCACAGAGCUCUCUGAUUGGCUCACACUGUGGGAAACCUCAACCAGACCAAGACCCACACAUUCAUAUGGAGAUGUGGGACUAUAAAUAGGAGGGAUGAAACCAGCACACAUCACAUUCUCUCUACACAGACCUCUACAGCUCACACAUCCAACCAUGGCAUCUACAAUCACUGCAGCAAUGACCAAUUCUCAGGAACAUCUGACUCUGACCCACAAGCUCAGAAAACCUCUGGUGGAGAAGCUCCGCAGAGAGCGAAUCAACAGCAGCAUUGAGCAGCUCAAGUCUCUCCUGGGUCCAGAGUUCCUCAAACAGCAGCCAGACUCCAAGAUGGAGAAAGCAGACAUCCUGGAGAUGACAGUUUGCUUCCUGAGAAGACUGCUGCAGCAGCAUCAAGCAGUCAACACAGCAGUUGUGGAUCAGGGCUACUCCAGCUGUGUCAGAGAGGUGAUGAACUUCCUGUCCAAGGAGGAGGUGAAGACACAGUCCCAGAGAAGACUGUUGAACCACUUCAGCAAGCUGCAGCCGUCCUCUGAAAACAACCUGACAGAGGCUGACUUCUCUCCUCUCAGCUCCACAGUCCAGAGCAGCAUCACCAAAGACAAGAGUCCAGUCAACAGCGCCCUCUGGAGGCCGUGGUAGACACCUGCACACUGGACUUACUACCAGACAGCAUCUAAUGACCACAUUGGUCAAAGAUUACUGGACUGAAUUCUAUGAAUUUCAUGAACUUGUUCUUCUCUAUGUACAGAAGGUUGAUUUGUUUUUAUUCUUUGUGUAAAACAACAUUUCCUGAGGAAACGACAGCAACAAUAUCUUUCAAGAUAAGAAAGAAAACAUGUUGUCAUGCAUGUUGCAUGAACCUAAUCUGAUUGCAUUUGCAAUUACUAGCUCCUGUCAUAUUUCAUUUGUUGGUAAUUGUAUGGUGACUUUUGCCAUCUUUUAAUAGUUAUUGAUCGCUGUGAUAAAACUAUUUCUUUCUGCUGGAAGGACAAAUUGUCAAAAUGAACAAAAAGCUGAUCUAUUGUAAGAUCCACGUUUAUCCUUUAAUUCUAAAAGGUUUGCUUCAUGUCAAAAUGUUCCUACAUUUGUGCUUUGCUGUGCAUUAUACAGUUGUGAUAUUUCUUAACUCUUGUUAAAUAUUGAUCAUAGUGAUCUAAACACAUCAUUGUCUUUUUAAUCAGUUGUUGAAACUUUUCCUGUUGUAUGGGAUGAGAAAAUGAUCUGUUUUAAGAUUAGUAAUUUUAUCCAGUUCCUGCAAAAGAUUAGUUUAAUGUUAAACUGUCACAGUUAUGCAGUGACAAUGGAUUUUUUUGACAUUUUAAAAAUCAAUUCAAAUUCUUUUCUAUUGAGAAUGACGACAUGUUUUAGGGUCAGUCUUAAGUUUACUUCUGUUUCUCAAUAUGAGUUUUUUUUCUCCAUUUGGGAAACAAAUGUCAAAGGACAGUGAGUUCUGUCCCCAAAUACUGUAAGUUUUGUGUCUUUUAUAAAGACAGUUGUUCCUUUACUCUGUAUGAGUACACUGUGUCUUGUAGAAAUCUACAAGUUCUGGUUGUGAUGUAUCAUCACCUGUUGUUGGAGCUUCAUCCUUCAAGUGGCUCAUUGAGUCUUGUUCAAUAAACAAACAUUGUCAGCUGAAAAA